UGAAGAGUACAAGGUAGAUAGGGCAGAGGUGGAAGUGCAGUAAUGUAUGGAGCUGACUGUUACUAAUCGGUCGAGGGCAUGACCC
rnacentral:rRNA from 1 species